CGGUAAUCAACAGCAAACACGGAUGGUUUGCUCUAGUACCGUUAGUUUGUGUCGGGAAACCCAAGCUCGGUGCUGUAUCAAUCUCGACUGCUCUAGUUGUUAGGGGCCAAACGACAGAGCAACCUGGAUCUGUUCCUCAGUCACACUUUACAGACUCGGUUGCGGUACAGAUUUAUAGAGUGGCUUCUCUCUUGUUGAAUUUUCUAUGCUUACAAGCAGAAGGUGUUGUUAAACGGGCAGAGGAAGUGGGAUAUGUAGAUCUUGCUCAUUUCCCUGAGCUUCCAGAGCCGGAGAUUUUGCACGGUCUACAGGUAUGAUAACUCAGAGGACAAGCACGGUGUUUUUGUUUUUACCCUUGUUUUAACCCUUUUUUUCUACUAGUACUACAAUAUUGUAUUUUGAAAUGCAGGACCAAGCCACAGCGAUUGUCGCUGAGCUUUGUGAUAAUUACAAAGAGGUUCCUAAUGAAGUCAAGAAGCUGUGCCUCCUGUUGCUCCAAAUAACAGAGAAGUCGUUAUAUUUGGAACUCUGUGUAGUUCAGGUUUGCAGGAUCCAUCAAGUCUUUGGCCGGGUGGAUAACUUCUCAAAAGACUUCAAAAAGCUAGUGAAAGGUAACAAUCAAUUGAUUUUAGGAAAUGCACGAUCAAUUUAGUAGCAAGGUGUAGAAAAAUGGUUGGUGUUUUUUUAACAUAUGCUUAUUUCUAAUGAGCAGCUGCAGAAGCGCAUGCGUACUUGGAACCGUCUAUGGAUUCACUGAAGAAAAUAGCUGUGUUUCUGUAUCCUGGAUUGCUAUAGGUACGAGAUUUUUUUUUAACAUGGAGACUUGUUUGUUCUUCAGUGUGACUGUAUUAUUGAAUCAUUGACCAUAUAUAUGUAAGUCAACAUAUUAGAUGCUAUGCACGUAUAAACUUUAAUGUUGGGCUCAUGCCGACCACUCAUUUUGGGCCGUUCGUCAUGCAUUCAUUUUUUAUUCGCUUUUACCUCUCAACAAAUGCUUUUGAUUGGUUCUCUCAUUAUAGACCGCAGAAAGUGCACUUCCGAAUAAACCUCUCUUCUUUUUCUAUAUGCUCAACUUUAGAUAAAUCAUUGUUCUCCAUCUUUCUGGUUUUAAACCUUAAAAUCCUCGGUAGUUUGAGGCAUUCAAAUGCUAUAUUAAAGAAGACGGUAAACCUCCUGCUUGAGGUGCUGCUUCUGGUUGUGGGUUCUGGUUCAGACAGCUCAAACUCAAGUGAGAUGGGACAUAUGGCAGCCAGAGAUCUUGCAGAAAUAUCUGAUGCGACAAUUGGAUUAUUACCCCUUCUCUGCAACUUCAUGGGGAAUCCCGAGUACUUGACUCUCUGCCUGACCACGGUAGACUUGAUUCUCAGAAAUUUUUUGACGCCAGAGACAUGGUUCCCAAUUAUACAGAGUCAUCUCCGCUUGCAGCAUGUUAUACUGCAGCUUCAGGAUAAGAAAUCCUCGGCAUCCGUUUCAGCAAUAAUGAAGUUUUUCUUAACUAUUGCUCAAGUUCAUGACGGUGCUCAGAUGCUUCUCAAUUCCGGAUUUUUCUCGACUCUAAGAGCUUUGUUCAUUGACUUGCCAGAUGGAAUAUCUACUUUGGUAUCUGACGAUGAAAAGGGCGGGCAGCUAGAUAAGAAAGAAAAACCGCAGCAUAUGUGGGGACUCGGUUUGGCUGUGGUUACGGCGAUGGUUAAUUCUCUAGGAUCCGUUUCUGUGGGUGCGGAUAUCGUGGAGAGUGUAAUAUCUUACUUUUUCUCAGAGAAAGGUUACAUGAUCUCUUAUUAUCUGUCUGCGCCUGAUUUCCCUUCUGAUGAUCGUGAAAAAGUGAGAGCAAGAACUCAACGGACAUGGACAUCCCUUGCUUAUCUGAGAGAAACCGAGCAUACUCUCCUUCUGAUGUGUGCAUUAGCAAGCCACUGGAGAUCAUGGGUUAAGAUUAUGAAGGAGAUGGAUUCUCCAUUAAGAGAAAUGGCUAUACAUCUCUUGGCCUUUAUCAGCAAAGGCGCUCAACGCCUGAGAGAGUCUCAUAUCAUAACAUCUCAUCUGUUAUGCCCUCCAGUAGUGAAAGAAGAGUUUGAUUCCUGCAAAAGACAGUCGGUAAUCAACAGCAAACACGGAUGGUUUGCUCUAGUACCGUUAGUUUGUGUCGGGAAACCCAAGCUCGGUGCUGUAUCAAUCUCGACUGCUCUAGUUGUUAGGGGCCAAACGACAGAGCAACCUGGAUCUGUUCCUCAGUCACACUUUACAGACUCGGUUGCGGUACAGAUUUAUAGAGUGGCUUCUCUCUUGUUGAAUUUUCUAUGCUUACAAGCAGAAGGUGUUGUUAAACGGGCAGAGGAAGUG
rnacentral:lncRNA from 1 species